UAGGGAAUCUUCCGCAAUGGGCGAAAGCCUGACGGAGCAACGCCGCGUGAGUGAUGAAGGUCUUCGGAUCGUAAAACUCUGUUAUUAGGGAAGAACAAAUGUGUAAGUAACUAUGCACGUCUUGACGGUACCUAAUCAGAAAGCCACGGCUAACUACGUGCCAGCAGCCGCGGUAAUACGUAGGUGGCAAGCGUUAUCCGGAAUUAUUGGGCGUAAAGCGCGCGUAGGCGGUUUUUUAAGUCUGAUGUGAAAGCCCACGGCUCAACCGUGGAGGGUCAUUGGAAACUGGAAAACUUGAGUGCAGAAGAGGAAAGUGGAAUUCCAUGUGUAGCGGUGAAAUGCGCAGAGAUAUGGAGGAACACCAUUGGCGAAGGCGACUUUCUGGUCUGUAACUGACGCUGAUGUGCGAAAGCGUGGGGAUCAAACAGG
rnacentral:rRNA from 1 species